rnacentral:rRNA from 1 species
GUCCGGAAUUAUUGGGCGUAAAGAGCUCGUAGGUUGUUUGUUACGUCGGAUGUGAAAACCUGAGGCUCAACCUCAGGCCUGCAUUCGAUACGGGCAAACUAGAGUUUGGUAGGGGAGACUGGAAUUCCUGGUGUAGCGGUGGAAUGCGCAGAUAUCAGGAGGAACACCAAUGGCGAAGGCAGGUCUCUGGGCCAAUACUGACACUGAGGAGCGAAAGUCUGGGGAGCGAACAGGAUUAGAUACCCUGGUAGUCCAGACCGUAAACGGUGGGCACUAGUUGUGGGAACCUUCCACGGUUUCUGCGACGCAGCUAACGCAUUAAGUGCCCCGCCUGGGGAGUACGAUCGCAAGAUUAAAACUCAAAGGAAUUGACGGGGCCCCGCACAAGCAGCGGAGCAUGCGGCUUAAUUCGACGCAACGCGAAGAACCUUACCAAGGCUUGACAUAUAGGGAAAAGUGGCAGAGAUGUCAUGUCCGCAAGGGCCCUAUACAGGUGGUGCAUGGUUGUCGUCAGCUCGUGUCGUGAGAUGUUGGGUUAAGUCCCGCAACGAGCGCAACCCUCGUUCUGUGUUGCCAGCAUUUAGUUGGGGACUCACAGGAGACUGCCGGGGUUAACUCGGAGGAAGGUGGGGAUGACGUCAAAUCAUCAUGCCCCUUAUGUCUUGGGCUGCACGCAUGCUACAAUGGCCGGUACAGAGGGCUGCAAUACCGUAAGGUGGAGCGAAUCCCAAAAAGCCGGUCUCAGUUCGGAUUGAGGUCUGCAACUCGACCUCAUGAAGUUGGAGUUGCUAGUAAUC